GAGAGGGGCCUAACGCGGCAACAAGAACUGCUAAUUCUAGUCCCUUUGGUUAAACUCCAAAGACCACUCGAA
rnacentral:tRNA from 1 species